UAUUUCAUAUUUUUACCAGUCUCUCUUGUACUCCCUAUAGCUGCAAGGCUCGUGCCAACGCCGUCCGGGAUCGCAGUGGCCAAAAGAAAAUCGUUAUCAAACACUCGCACAAUCAUCCGCUCGUAACCGAGCGAAGAAAGAAAAGUUCCUCUAGAUAAAUGAACGCGCUACUUCUAGUACCUCAGCCAUAGCUAACCGACAACUGAGUUUUUCAUUGAUUAUUUUGAUAUUUUUUUUUUUUCAAAAUAAUAUUUGCUUCACAAUCUAUUUCGUUUUUCUUUUAUAUACCUAGAAGCAUUAUGCUGAAAUUAUAACAAUAUUUUCGAAUUAUCUGUAUUGUCACGGUCGCCAUGUACUAUGUUGUUCUCUUGUCUUCAACAUUUUGUUGUAGCUGUUGCCAUUCUACAGCCCAGAAAGAUAUAUUUCAAACCAAGAUUUUAAAGAUUCCUGAAUUUCGAAGAAUAUUUAGUAGUCUUCCAGUAUUUGAGUGAUAAUAUUUUGCUUGGUAUCUGUGCUUUCUUUGUAUAUUGAGACCUGACAAAAAGUGCAUUAUUUAUAGCAUAAGCUGUUCAAUUUCAGACGAAAAGCGUUUCUCUAGUACCUCAAUGUAAACUUUCUAAUCAUAUCAUACAAUUUUCCCCAGCACCAGUAACCUAUACGGUGAAUGCUCGUGGCAAUCGACGAAUAUGUCACCUGGGAUACCUUUUCGAUGCGGAGAAAAGACGACACAAAUCCACCAGCUGGCGAUGCUGCCAGGCAAAGAAGCUUCAGUGUAAGGCUCGGAUAGUCGAGCGAAUCUCAAAGUGGGGCGAGCCAUCAUAUGAAUUCGUGCGGUCUGUGCACAAUCAUGAUGUUGAUCCUGGUGACACGCUGCUGGGACUAAGCUUCAAACUUUAAGAAGCAAUGUUACCGAAGUACAAUACGUGUUGAGCGCUCGUGGAGGCUUACAGCUAUGCAUCGAUGGCUUUCGCUACACACGUGAUCGGAUUAAGGAUAACAAAAUCAUCUACCGUUGCGUGCACUACAAACCCUUAGGAUGCAAAGCACGUGCCCACACCGAUAAGGAUGACCCCAAGGUGAAGAUUAUCGAGAUGGAACACAACCAUCCACUGAAGAUGGACCGCCGGAAAAGUGGAGCCCUGAGACAGCUACUGGAGCAACGCAAGCAGGAAAACCGAGCGGCGGGUGGGCGUGCAAGUCGAAAAAAGUGAUGGCGAUCUGUUUUUCGGCGAUAAUCUAGUACUUCCUGCUUAUUGUAGGGACUUCGUUUGGUAUAUUCAAUUUGAAAGAGCAGUUGAAAUCGGUUGAAUAAUUUAGGAGCGUUGAAGCGUCUUCAAUCUAGUACUACAAUUUGAUAAUCUGGAACCGGCUGGUAGUUUAUUUGUAAUCAUUUAGACUUAGAGACGCCUUCAUGGUAGUUUAUUCUGGUUGAUGAAUAAAUCAAUAAAGCAACUCUGAUUAAUAUAUUGAUGUAUGUCUAAGCUUCUGAAACAAAAAAAAAUCAGUUAUUUUAGUACAGUCAGAAUAAGUCGUCUUGAAAUAAUCCCAUUUACAUUCAAAUAAUUGUAGAACUGAUCAUAUCGCCAGUCCCACGAUCAGCAAGGACGAUUACUACGAAGCCUUUCCGUGCUCAACAGAGCAAACCGAUCAUCGUCGCUGCCGUCGAGGGAUUCGUCUUUCCGCUACAAUCAGAAGAGGAAGUGGACCGUUUGGAGUACACCGCUCGAAGAGAUCAGCUCAUUCGUGAUCAAUAUGUAGCGUUGUUGCAGGAAGUGAAACCUCACCAUCAGGAUCCAUCUAAUGUUUUUGCUGACCUGUUUUCCGACGAGGCACUUCUGGGAUAUAACUAUUACGGGAAAACGAACCGAGCGAAGAAGAAGAAAGCCAUGCGGAAGUAUAUCAUAUUUACCGAUUGUAUGGUUGAUGCAUGGCUUUCGCAUGGGGUUACGGAAGAAAGUUUAAGAUUAUCUAUCGUUAAGGUCAUUGCCCGACUUAACCACAAAGUACGUAGCAGAGGAUAUCGAAGAAACUCUUCGAGCGUUACAACGCAGGAUGGUGCUGAAGUCGGGGAAGAGCUUUAUUGAUAGAAGUGUGAAAAUUUUCCAGCUAUGCUAAGAAGUAAUGAUUUGUUAUGGUGCAGGAAGUUCGCAUGGUUAAGAUCAUUCCGUAAAGAACACUGCAGUACUAGAUUGCAACAUCUUGGAAUCGAUAAACGACUCUUGAAUCAAUCUGUUCAUUAAGUUUUAAUUCGCAUUCUACAUUUAUUAGGGCAAACGCCUGCAUUUACUCAACUAUGCUAAUAUUUCUUUUACAAAAUCGUCGGCCUGGAAAACACCGUUCAUGGAAAAUCAGACAUCUUCAAAAAUAAUUGAAAUUAUUCCCAAAUUUUAGUACUGCGAUGUGAACUUGGAAUAUUUGCAAUGCAAAUGGUGACU